GUUGGGUAGGGGAGCGUUCUGUAAGCCUGUGAAGGUGGCCUGUGAGGGUUGCUGGAGGUAUCAGAAGUGCGAAUGCUGACAUAAGUAACGAUAAAGCGGGUGAAAAGCCCGCUCGCCGGAAGACCAAGGGUUCCUGUCCAACGUUAAUCGGGGCAGGGUGAGUCGACCCCUAAGGCGAGGCCGAAAGGCGUAGUCGAUGGGAAACGGGUUAAUAUUCCCGUACUUGGUGUUACUGCGAAGGGGGGACGGAGAAGGCUAUGUUGGCCGGGCGACGGUUGUCCCGGUUUAAGCGUGUAGGUGUGUGUUCCAGGUAAAUCCGGUUCACUUUAACACUGAGGCGUGAUGACGAGGCACUACGGUGCUGAAGCAACAAAUGCCCUGCUUCCAGGAAAAGCCUCUAAGCAUCAGGUAACAUCAAAUCGUACCCCAAACCGACACAGGUGGUCAGGUAGAGAAUACCAAGGCGCUUGAGAGAACUCGGGUGAAGGAACUAGGCAAAAUGGUGCCGUAACUUCGGGAGAAGGCACGCUGACAUGUAGGUGAAGUGAUUUACUCAUGGAGCUGAAGUCAGUCGAAGAUACCAGCUGGCUGCAACUGUUUAUUAAAAACACAGCACUGUGCAAACACGAAAGUGGACGUAUACGGUGUGACGCCUGCCCGGUGCCGGAAGGUUAAUUGAUGGGGUCAGCGCAAGCGAAGCUCCUGAUCGAAGCCCCGGUAAACGGCGGCCGUAACUAUAACGGUCCUAAGGUAGCGAAAUUCCUUGUCGGGUAAGUUCCGACCUGCACGAAUGGCGUAAUGAUGGCCAGGCUGUCUCCACCCGAGACUCAGUGAAAUUGAACUCGCUGUGAAGAUGCAGUGUACCCGCGGCAAGACGGAAAGACCCCGUGAACCUUUACUAUAGCUUGACACUGAACAUUGAGCCUUGAUGUGUAGGAUAGGUGGGAGGCUUUGAAGUGUGGACGCCAGUCUGCAUGGAGCCGACCUUGAAAUACCACCCUUUAAUGUUUGAUGUUCUAACGUGGACCCGUAAUCCGGGUUGCGGACAGUGUCUGGUGGGUAGUUUGACUGGGGCGGUCUCCUCCUAAAGAGUAACGGAGGAGCACGAAGGUUGGCUAAUCCUGGUCGGACAUCAGGAGGUUAGUGCAAUGGCAUAAGCCAGCUUGACUGCGAGCGUGACGGCGCGAGCAGGUGCGAAAGCAGGUCAUAGUGAUCCGGUGGUUCUGAAUGGAAGGGCCAUCGCUCAACGGAUAAAAGGUACUCCGGGGAUAACAGGCUGAUACCGCCCAAGAGUUCAUAUCGACGGCGGUGUUUGGCACCUCGAUGUCGGCUCAUCACAUCCUGGGGCUGAAGUAGGUCCCAAGGGUAUGGCUGUUCGCCAUUUAAAGUGGUACGCGAGCUGGGUUUAGAACGUCGUGAGACAGUUCGGUCCCUAUCUGCCGUGGGCGCUGGAGAACUGAGGGGGGCUGCUCCUAGUACGAGAGGACCGGAGUGGACGCAUCACUGGUGUUCGGGUUGUCAUGCCAAUGGCACUGCCCGGUAGCUAAAUGCGGAAGAGAUAAGUGCUGAAAGCAUCUAAGCACGAAACUUGCCCCGAGAUGAGUUCUCCCUGAGACUU
rnacentral:rRNA from 1 species